GACGGAGGAUGCAAGUGUUAUCCGGAAUCACUGGGCGUAAAGCGUCUGUAGGUGGUCAAAUAAGUCAACUGUUAAAUCUUGAGGCUCAACCUCAAAAUCGCAGUCGAAACUAUUCGACUAGAGUAUAGUAGGGGUAAAGGGAAUUUCCAGUGGAGCGGUGGAAUGCGUAGAGAUUGGAAAGAACACCGAUGGCGAAGGCACUUUACUGGGCUAUUACUAACACUGAGAGACGAAAGCUAGGGUAGCAAAUGGG
rnacentral:rRNA from 1 species